rnacentral:rRNA from 1 species
UACGUAGGGGGCUAGCGUUGUCCGGAAUCAUUGGGCGUAAAGCGCGCGUAGGCGGCCCGGUAAGUCCGCUGUGAAAGUCCAGGGCUCAACCCUGGAAAGCCGGUGGAUACUGCCGGGCUAGAGUCCGGAAGAGGCGAGUGGAAUUCCUGGUGUAGCGGUGGAAUGCGCAGAUAUCAGGAGGAACACCGAUGGCGAAGGCGGGUUGCUGGGCCGACACUGACGCUGAUGCGCGAAAGCUAGGGGAGCGAACGGG